rnacentral:rRNA from 1 species
CCUACGGGAGGCAGCAGUGGGGAAUAUUGCACAAUGGGGGAAACCCUGAUGCAGCGACGCCGCGUGGAGGAAGAAGGUCUUCGGAUUGUAAACUCCUGUUGUUGAGGAAGAUAAUGACGGUACUCAACAAGGAAGUGACGGCUAACUACGUGCCAGCAGCCGCGGUAAAACGUAGGUCACAAGCGUUGUCCGGAAUUACUGGGUGUAAAGGGAGCGCAGGCGGGAAGACAAGUUGGAAGUGAAAUCCAUGGGCUCAACCCAUGAACUGCUUUCAAAACUGUUUUUCUUGAGUAGUGCAGAGGUAGGCGGAAUUCCCGGUGUAGCGGUGGAAUGCGUAGAUAUCGGGAGGAACACCAGUGGCGAAGGCGGCCUACUGGGCACCAACUGACGCUGAGGCUCGAAAGUGUGGGUAGCAAACAGGAUUAGAUACCCUGGUAGUCCACACUGUAAACGAUGAUUACUAGGUGUUGGAGGAUUGACCCCUUCAGUGCCGCAGUUAACACAAUAAGUAAUCCACCUGGGGAGUACGACCGCAAGGUUGAAACUCAAAGGAAUUGACGGGGGCCCGCACAAGCAGUGGAGUAUGUGGUUUAAUUCGAAGCAACGCGAAGAACCUUACCAGGUCUUGACAUCCAACUAACGAAGUAGAGAUACAUUAGGUGCCCUUCGGGGAAAGUUGAGACAGGUGGUGCAUGGUUGUCGUCAGCUCGUGUCGUGAGAUGUUGGGUUAAGUCCCGCAACGAGCGCAACCCUUAUGGUCAGUUACUACGCAAGAGGACUCUGGCCAGACUGCCGUUGACAAAACGGAGGAAGGUGGGGAUGACGUCAAAUCAUCAUGCCCUUUAUGACUUGGGCUACACACGUACUACAAUGGCGUUAAACAAAGAGAAGCAAGACCGCGAGGUGGAGCAAAACUCAGAAACAACGUCCCAGUUCGGACUGCAGGCUGCAACUCGCCUGCACGAAGUCGGAAUUGCUAGUAAUCGCAGAUCAGCAUGCUGCGGUGAAUACGUUCCCGGGCCUUGUACACACCGCCCGUCACGCCAUGGGAGUCGGUAACACCCGAAGCCUGUAGUCUAACCGUAAGGAGGACGCAGUCGAAGGUGGGAUUGAUGACUGGGGUGAAGUCGUAACAAGGUAGCCGUAUCGGAAGGUGCGGCUG